UUCCAUGUGGUCUAGUGUUUAGGCUUCCUGACAUUCACCCAGGCGGCCCAGGUUCGAUUUCUGGCAUGCGAAG